GACGAACGCUGGCGGCGUGCUUAACACAUGCCAGUCGAACGGUGAAGCGCUUUCCUUUUUGGUUGGUGUGGAUGAGUGGCGAACGGGUGAGUAACACGUGAGUAACCUGCCCCCUUCUUCUGGAUAACCGCAUGAAAGUGUGGCUAAUACGGGAUAUUCUGCGCCUGCUGCAUGGUGGGUGUGGGAAAGAUUGUGCCUUUGGGUGUUUUCGGUGGGGGAUGGGCUCGCGGCCUAUCAGCUUGUUGGUGGGGUGAUGGCCUACCAAGGCGGUGACGGGUAGCCGGCCUGAGAGGGUGGACGGUCACACUGGGACUGAGACACGGCCCAGACUCCUACGGGAGGCAGCAGUGGGGAAUAUUGCACAAUGGGCGCAAGCCUGAUGCAGCGACGCCGCGUGAGGGAUGGAGGCCUUCGGGGUGUGAACCUCUUUCGCCAGUGAAGCAGGCCUGCUCCUUGUGGGUGGGUUGACGGUAGCUGGAGAAGAAGCGCCGGCUAACUACGUG
rnacentral:rRNA from 1 species